rnacentral:rRNA from 1 species
UGUGUGUUAGUGGAAGCGUCUGGAAAGGCGCGCGAUACAGGGUGACAGCCCCGUACACAAAAAUGCACAUGCUGUGAGCUCGAUGAGUAGGGCGGGACACGUGGUAUCCUGUCUGAAUAUGGGGGGACCAUCCUCCAAGGCUAAAUACUCCUGACUGACCGAUAGUGAACCAGUACCGUGAGGGAAAGGCGAAAAGAACCCCGGCGAGGGGAGUGAAAAAGAACCUGAAACCGUGUACGU